CUGGUUCAGCAGCACAUAUACUAAAAUUGGCACAAUACGGAGAAGAUUAGCAUGGCUUCUGAGCAUGAAUAAAGCACAAAUUUGUGAAGCAUUCCAUAUUUUU